GCCCCAUCAGUGGAACUGGGCAGUUUCUCAGGGUCUCUCAGAAUCACAGUCAGCCCCAAUGUCCAGGCUCAGCCAUGGUUCGUGAGCUCAGCGAGAUGCCACGUGUCCAGGAUGGAGCGCCAGUCUGUUCCAUCAUCCACUCAUGUCGCUCAGCCCAGCCGCUCCAGUCUGUGUGGCUCACAGGCACCACUGAGCUCCGGCAUCUUGCCUGGCCGGGGCCAGGUGCCCAUCCAUACAGGCCUCUCUCCAUCUCUCUUUUCUCCCCUUCCCAGACAGGCAAGGGGACCCCUGUUUUCACCACUGCCAGUCAGGACAUCUCAAAGGGAAUGCCCGAUUUUGAAGGCAGACUUGCAGAUAAUAACAAACAAAAACAAUACCUCCCAUGUCUCCGUACCUAAGGGGCUGGGCAGAAUGAUAGAGAUUCCAAAACUCUAAAAAAAAGGAAAAAGAUGGGGCCUUCCCGUCAGCCCUCACGCCUAGUGGUACUCAGAGUGACUAUUGGGGAGAGUCAGUAUGGGUGAUUGUGUUUGUGCUGUCAAAAAGGUCCUUUUGCCCUCAGGUCCGAGCAGGCUGACCAGGGCUGAGCGAGACCUGGAAUUCGUUCUGAGGCCGGCUCAGCUCUCUGCUUGCAGCUCCUGAGGAUGGAGAAGUUCCACAAACAGUAAAGAUGCAAAAUGGGAUGUCAGAGGGGGCUCAGGGGACCUCUCAGGGUGAUGCCUCGGGAGAAGGGGCUCCUGUUACAUCUUGCUGUCGUGAGUAUCCGGGCUGCUUCUUAUCCCAUUUCUCGUUCAUGAAGUGGCCUGGCCCACAGUGCGGUGGCCAUAUCAGGGUGUUUUGAAAGCCGAGGAGGAGGCAAUGUGGGUGAGUUAACAUGAAAGUCCCAUGGCCUGUGGGCUUUUGUUCUACAGUCAGUUGCUAGGGUUUCUAGAAAUAAAGCAUGAUGAGAGAAAAGCUGUGUCAGCUGGACCAUAAUGAGUUGGGCCUUUAGGGGACCCCUUGUCUCCUUGGGGAGCUGUGGCGAGGGCAAAGAAGGUCUUCUUCCUCUGGGGGCGAGGGUGCACUGCAGGGACCACACACACACACAGUCACGCAGCCUUGGGUGGACGGACUGAGGGUUUCCAGGAGGGAGGGAGGGUGGAGCUAGACCAAGGCCAAACAUGCAGGCUCUGAGGUGACCGUGUCUGGGCAGUUUGUGGUUAAGACCCUGGUACCUUGGAACCGGAGCUGCACUCAGUGUGGUCUUAGGGCCGUGCACCUGGAAAGGGCACUAGGCUGUCUGUGUCUCUGCGCUCAGUCUGUGGACCAGAGAGUAACACUGACCGUAGCAGGCACUCCCCUGGAACGCGGUGAGGACGGGUGGACUCACUGCUCGCGGUGGCUGCAAAGUGUCGUCCCGAGGAAGAGCUCUGUGCGCUGUGGUGCUGGGAGUGGGGAGGGACACAUGCACCCCUCCCCAGCUCCAGCUUUGACCUCUGCCGGCCCCUCUGAGGAAUCUAGUCACUUUUCUGCCAAAGGGACCUGAAGGGCAACCUGUAUGAUAGGGUCGCUUGGGAAAUUUUCAACAACAGUGUUGGGUGUGGGUUGGUGGCAAUGCCAUCAGAUAAGUUGCUAUGGGAGAUAUUUUAAGCAUCAACUCUUCCUAUCCUGCCCCCUUGCCCCUCAACACCAAUGGUUCUCAUCCUUUUUUUGGACCACAGCCCCUUCGGGAAAUGGGUCCUUUUGCCCAAACAGCGUAUAUCCACAUAUCUGUAGCAUUCUGUACUUUACUUCAGGGAUGUGCGGAUUAGAAGCCUUGUUGCAGACUUGCAGGCUCAAAGACUUAGAGGCUUCCCUGCUGCCCGACUUCCCCCUCCGAGGCCACACCUCCAAUACUCCAAGGGGCAGAGGGACCUGCUUUUCUCCAUCGCAUCUGAAGUUUACUGCUCAGAAAAAUGUGGCAGGCGUCACUAUCACUCUCAAGGCCCUGGACAUAUAAAAGGAGCCCCAUGAGUCACGUGUUCCCUAGAAACAAGAAUAUCAGUAAUAACAAGGAGGGCAGCUGACUUUUCGGGGCACUUAACUAUGUUCCGCACACAGUGCUAAGCUCUUUUUGUGCAUGAUCUCAUGAGGACACUGCCAUGAUCCCCAUUUUACAGAUAUGAAGCUAAGGCACAGAGAGGUCAAGUAACUUGUCCAAGGUCACACAGGUUGUCAGUUAAGGUUUAAAUGCACCAGAACCCUCAGUAUAUUUUUGGCCACCUGGGGACAUCACAUUCUAUCCCCUUUCUUAGUGUUCUGAGCACUCACCCUAAUAAAGGCACCCUAGACUUGAGUGGGUACCAAUUCUAGACAUACUGAGUCUCAAUCCUGGGCCAAUUUUCUCUCCAAAAUGAACCUGCCUGGGCAGCAAUGCCGAAAGAUGGUGAAACAGGCCUGGUUUGUGCAUGAAUUAGGAAAGAAAAUCAUCUUCCUAUACCCCACGGGCAUCUUUGAGCCAAAGAUAACUACAGAACAUUCUGGAAAUACCUCUGCUCAAACCACAGUGCUGCAAAAGCUCUCUCCGCAGCUGCUGGACUGGACACAAAAGUGUGAGGGACUGAGACACCGUCUCUGCUGAUUCGUACCCAGCUCUGCUCCCUGUUGCCAAGAAGCCACACAGGGCAGAGAAACCGGGUUGGGGGCCUCCUUGGCUGUCUGCAUUGCCCAGGAGCAUCCCACAGACGGUACAGAAGGGGCAGUAUCUCCAUCCUGCAGAUGAAGAGGACCAGGCUCAGAGAUGUUUGUUGCCACAGGCAUACGAUUUUAACCAUUUGCUCCACAUCUGUCCAACAAAUGAAUCUGUCUUGCUGAGAAAGGAU
ensembl:lncRNA